GGACUACUGGGGUAUCUAAUCCCAUUCGCUACCCACGCUUUCGUGUUUCAGUGUCAGUAAUGUGCCAGUAAGCUGCCUUCGCUUUUGGUGUUCCCCAAGAUAUCAACGGAUUUCACCCCUACACCUUGAGUUCCGCUUACCUCUCACAUACUCAAGCAUUGCCGUUUCGUUCGCGUCUCCGAGGUUAAGCCCCGGGCUUUCACAAACGACUAACAACGCCACCUACACACCCUUUACGCCCAAUGAUUCCGGAUAACGCUCGGGGCCUCUGUAUUACCGCGGCUGCUGGCAC
rnacentral:rRNA from 1 species